rnacentral:misc_RNA from 1 species
GUGAAUCAUCGAAUCUUUGAACGCAAAUUGCACUCUCCUCUGAGAGUAUGCCUGUUUCAGGUCCAGCCUGUAAAAAUCGACAUCGUUGCUGUUUCGCGGUAACGUUUGUCGGAAAUUGGGUCAUCUUAAAUCCUUUUGGUUUUUAAGCGACUUAAAAUUUUCUUUUUGGUUCCAUGAACGUUUCUAAGAUUUAUUUCUUUACACGUUUAAGGUAUCGAUUUUUAUUAGGCGUUACCAUCAUAUCGGAUCGCGUCCAUAAUCUUUCAUUAACUGACCUCAGACAGGUAAGAGUACCCGCUGA